rnacentral:rRNA from 1 species
GAUGAACGCUGGCGGCGUGCCUAAUACAUGCAAGUCGAGCGAACAGACGAGGAGCUUGCUCCUCUGACGUUAGCGGCGGACGGGUGAGUAACACGUGGAUAACCUACCUAUAAGACUGGGAUAACUUCGGGAAACCGGAGCUACUACCGGAUAAUAUAUUGAACCGCAUGGUUCAAUAGUGAAAGACGGUUUUGCUGUCUCUUAUAGAUGGAUCCGCGCCGCAUUAGCUAGUUGGUAAGGUAACGGCUUACCAAGGCGACGAUGCGUAGCCGACCUGAGAGGGUGAUCGGCCACACUGGAACUGAGACACGGUCCAGACUCCUACGGGAGGCAGCAGUAGGGAAUCUUCCGCAAUGGGCGAAAGCCUGACGGAGCAACGCCGCGUGAGUGAUGAAGGUCUUCGGAUCGUAAAACUCUGUUAUUAGGGAAGAACAAAUGUGUAAGUAACUAUGCACGUCUUGACGGUACCUAAUCAGAAAGCCACGGCUAACUACGUG